AACUCAACUUAUACCGAUCCUCAAACCGGUUUGGUUUACCAUAAUCUUCUAGACCAAAUGUUGGAUUCGGUUAUCUUCGCCAUGACCAAACUCGGUUACCCACACAUCCGCGUCGCAAUCUCCGAAACCGGAUGGCCUAACUCCGGGGACAUCGAUGAAACCGGCGCCAACGUACUCAACGCAGCCACGUAUAACCGGAAUUUGAUCAAGAAGAUGACCGCCAUUCCACCAAUCGGUACACCAGCUAGACCCGGUUUAGCUAUACCGACAUUUGUUUUCUCCUUGUUCGACGAAAACCAGAAAUCCGGUUCGGGAACACAGAG
rnacentral:lncRNA from 1 species